rnacentral:misc_RNA from 1 species
AUAAAGAAAGUUUGUUUUGUUUUUUCGUUGUUGUUGAGCUAAUUUAGGCUCUUAAAUUUCUCUAAAUCUGGCGGAAAUUGCAUUAAAAAAAUAAGGAAAUAAUUGUAAAAAAUAUAAAUUAAAAUAUUAAAAGUAGGAAUUGAUGAAUAUGUUUGCAAUGAUUUCUCAAAUAUUUUUUUUUAAAAUAUAGAUAUUUUUGUAUUUUGGUAGGAAUCUGGUGAAAAUAUAUACAUUAAAUAAUAGUGAAAGUGGU